rnacentral:rRNA from 1 species
UACGUAGGGUGCAAGCGUUGUCCGGAAUUAUUGGGCGUAAAGAGCUCGUAGGCGGUCUGUCGCGUCGGCUGUGAAAACCCGAGGCUCAACCUCGGGCCUGCAGUCGAUACGGGCAAACUAGAGUACUGCAGGGGAGACUGGAAUUCCUGGUGUAGCGGUGAAAUGCGCAGAUAUCAGGAGGAACACCGGUGGCGAAGGCGGGGUCUCUGGGCAGUAACUGACGCUGAGGAGCGAAAAGCGUGGGGGAGCGAACAGG